UACGUAGGGUGCGAGCGUUAAUCGGAAUUACUGGGCGUAAAGCGUGCGCAGGCGGUUCGUUGUGUCGGCGGUGAAAGCCCCGGGCUUAACCCUGGGAAUGGCCGUCGAAACUGGCGAACUGGAGUGUGGCAGAGGGGGUGGAAUUCCGCGUGUAGCAGUGAAAUGCGUAGAGAUGCGGAGGACACCGAUGGCGAAGGCAGCCCCCUGGGCUGACCACUGAC
rnacentral:rRNA from 1 species